rnacentral:rRNA from 1 species
GCAAGCGUGAUCCAGCCAUACCGGGUGGGUGAAGAAGGCCUUCGGGUUGUAAAGCCCUUUUGUUGGGAAAGAAAUCCAGCUGGUUAAUACGUGGUUGGGAUGACGGUACCCAAAGAAUAAGCACCGGCUAACUUCGUGCCAGCAGCCGCGGUAAUACGAAGGGUGCAAGCGUUAUUCGGAAUUACUGGGCGUAAAGCGUGCGUAGGUGGUUGUUUAAGUCUGUUGUGAAAGCCCUGGGCUCAACCUGGGAACUGCAGUGGAAACUGGACAACUAGAGUGUGGUAGAGGGUAGCGGAAUUCCCGGUGUAGCAGUGAAAUGCGUAGAGAUUGGGAGGAACAUCCA